rnacentral:rRNA from 1 species
GACGAACGCUGGCGGCGUGCCUAACACAUGCAAGUCGAACGGGGUAGAGAGCUUCGGUUUUCUACUUAGUGGCGAACGGGUGAGUAACGCGUGAGGAACCUGCCUUUCAGUGGGGGACAACAGUUGGAAACGACUGCUAAUACCGCAUAACAUACACGGACCGCAUGAUCUGUGUAUCAAAGCUUUAUGUGCUGAAAGAUGGCCUCGCGUCUGAUUAGAUAGUUGGUGGGGUAACGGCCUACCAAGUCGACGAUCAGUAGCCGGCCUGAGAGGGUGAACGGCCACAUUGGGACUGAGACACGGCCCAAACUCCUACGGGAGGCAGCAGUGGGGAAUAUUGGACAAUGGGGGAAACCCUGAUCCAGCGACGCCGCGUGAGUGAAGAAGUAUUUCGGUAUGUAAAGCUCUAUCAGCAGGGAGAAAAUGACGGUACCUGACUAAGAAGCUCCGGCUAACUACGUG